rnacentral:rRNA from 1 species
UACGUAGGGGGCAAGCGUUGUCCGGAUUUAUUGGGCGUAAAGAGCGUGUAGGCGGUUUGGUAGGUCCGCUGUGAAAACUCGAGGCUCAACCUCGAGACGCCGGUGGAAACCAUCAGACUAGAGUCCGGAAGAGGAGAGUGGAAUUCCUGGUGUAGCGGUGAAAUGCGCAGAUAUCAGGAGGAACACCGGUGGCGAAGGCGGGUCUCUGGGCCGAUACUGACGCUGAGGAGCGAAAGCGUGGGGAGCAAACAGG